AGUAGUCCAGUCAUUCUAUUUAUAACCUAGAAAAAAUUGCAAAAGAAUUAAUUCCUUGUGCAUCGUACGUAACAAUGCCUAAUUAAGACACAAUGUUAUUUUUAAGCCUCAUUUCAAUGGGGAAAGUGUAAAAAUCCAACAAUGAAAAUGGCGAAAAUAAUACAUUUUGAAGAUGUCCUGUAUAGUACACCAUUCAGGUGCUUUCUGUGUAUAUGACGUCAUUAAGUGACGUGAAAUCAUAUAAAAUGGCGGAUGCGUUGACUGGCCGGUGUGUUUUUUCAGUAACAAUUGGUGUGAUGUUAAGCAUUUACUAGGAAUAUAAAAGAAAAUUGACCUUACUAUACCAGUGAAAUAAGUUUGCAGGAGAAGUCUUUAACUUGAAGCUGGUUCGUUACGUGCAUGUAAACGUUUAAAGGUAAAAGACAUGUGAACUUGAGAAAUGAAGGUGUGGGCUGAACUGUAGGAACUUA